CGUUCCCAGGCCUUGUACACACCGCCCGUCACAUCAUGAAAGCCGGUUGUACCCGAAGUCACCCCUCAAAAGGUGCCGAAGGUAUGGCUGGUGAUUGGGAUG
rnacentral:rRNA from 1 species